ACUCACGGUACAGCAGGGCGACGGCGCGCAGCAGCACGAUGCGGGGAUGGCAGAGGCCGGUGCCAGGCGUGCCGGGGACACCCGGCACAGAGUCACACACCAGGGCCACACACCAGGCCGGGCCCCGAGCCCCGCUUUGCAGCUUGCCCACCGUCCCCACAACGCCCAGCACCUGGCCCCGUGCACAGUUUCACCAAAAAUCGCUCCAGCUUUCCACGUCGGCUGUUUCGGAUGCUGCCGUGAUUUCUACUUUGUAUAGUUUAUAGCUGCCAAACACUUGACUCUGUGUUGAGCUAUGCAUGUUUUUCUUUAACCAAAAACAUUUUAAUAAAGUGGCCUCGGCAGUC